UCCUGAGCAGAAAUUAAAAAUUUAUCAGUUAUUAAAGACCACAAAAUCUUGGAAAUUUUAACUGGAUAAAAUGAGAGUAAAAAAAAUCAUUAGGUUUGCACAUUAAUAGUAAAAAUAUGUAGAUGAAAGACGAUAAAACUCACUAGGCGAUUGACCGUCAGAAACGAAAUGAACGAAUACUGCAGCCGCUGCUGCGAGGCGAAAACUCCUACGAUCAUUGCCCCCUUGUGGCACUUUUGCACACCAAAACCAGAUCCGAUAGUGGGUGCGAAAGGGGUUUACUAUUUUAUGUCAGAUUCAAAUAGUAGACCCUAGUGUAUUGUAUAAUUGUUCUCAGAAAAGGUAAAUAAUUUAAGCUAGUUGCUGGGUUAUUGCCUGUGUGAAAUAUUGAUGAAUAUUGCAUAUGAAAAAGCUUUGAUGAAGUUUCUAGAGUAGCACGCAUUGGAAUGGAUAUUAUUUAGUAGCGUGUGGAAAUGAAAUAGUCUACAUUUAGUUCUUAGAAAUUUAUUGUAUUAUAUCAAUUGUUUUAAUUUAAGCAUGAAUCUUGAAAACUGUAUGAUUGACAAUAGGAAUAGGAUUCAAAAGAAAAUGUUUCAUGUCAAAUUACUAGCAAAAUGCAGUAAACAUUGUCAAUCCUCCUGAAGAAGAGUUUCAUUCUCUGUUUUAUAAGAAUGGCCUUGGUUAGCGAUGUUGGCUGGUAAAAUGUCCUACAUUGAUGACAUAUCACCACAGAGGCAAGGCAAGAAUUGUAUCAGCAAUCAAAUCUCCAAACUUGGCCCUAUGUAUUCAUUUGGAAACAAUGGUCAAUUUUUACAGGAGGAAAUUGGCAAAAUUUCGCCGGUUGCCCUCCAGAACUGUAAGGACUUCAUUAAGACGAAUUCUUUGAUUACUUGCAUGGGAAAUGAAGGGUAUGACACGAACUUAACUGUCUUACGUAUCGGAUGUCGCUGAAGAGUUGGCUCAUCGGGAACUCAGAUCAUUAACCUUGCUUGGCAGGUUAACACGACUGAUUUCUCAUCACCACCAAAGCCCGCAAAAUUUGAUAAACUCCACUGGCCUAAGUGGUUUUGCCACCAACGAAAUCGAAUUGAAACAUCUCGUUAAAAUCUGGUUUACUUUCAUAAACCGAUUCCUAAGACAAACUGUCGAUUUGGGAAAUUUUGCUGCCAGUAAAAAAUUUUUUUUUCUUUUCUUUUCUUUCUUUCUUUCUUUUCUUUCUUUCUUUUCUUUAUUUCUUUUCUGUAUUUCUUUUCUUUUUUUACAGGUGGCAAUAUUCAUUACUUCAGCCAAUUGCCAUUAUAUUAUUCUCAUUUUCGUCUUCGUUACCGGUGGUGUCUGUUUUACAAGAAUGUAAAAUGUUUUUUUGAGGUGGUUUAACAAUUGGAGCUUAAAUCAUGUUAAUGUUGCAUUACUCGUUCCUCAACGAAGUAACCAACAAGAAAGAAUUAAAUUUGACAUGGAUGGCUGUGCGUGUAUCGGCCAACGUAUUCAACCUAAA